AUAAUACUCCAUAGAUUAGAGACACUGGAAUGUUCUUUAGUCGAAAGUUCUGGCGCCUUAGGAUGGAUCUGCGGUCGAUUAGGUUGUUGUUGGGGUAACGGCCCAACAAGCCUGUAAUCGAUACGGGUUGUGGGAGCAAGAGCCCGGAGAUGGAAUCUGAGACACGAUUCCAGGCCCUAAGGGGCGCAGCAGGCGCGAAAACUUUACAAUGCAGGAAACUGUGAUAAGGGAACUCCGAGUGCCCGUAUACGCGGGCUGUCCAGGUGUUUAAAAAUCAUCUGAAGAAAGGGCCGGGCAAGACCGGUGCCAGCCGCCGCGGUAAUACCGGCGGCUCGAGUGGUGGCCACUAUUAUUGGGCUUAAAGCGUCCGUAGCUGGACCGAUAAGUCUCUUGGGAAAUCCGCCGGCUCAACCGGCGGGCGUCUAAGGGAUACUGUUAGUCUAGGGACCGGGAGAGGUGAGAGGUACUCCGGGGGUAGGAGUGAAAUCCUGUAAUCCCCGGGGGACCACCGAUGGCGAAGGCAUCUCACCAGAACGGCUCCGACAGUGAGGGACGAAAGCUGGGGGAGCGAACCGGAUUAGAUACCCGGGUAGUCCCAGCCGUAAACUAUGCGCGUUAGGUGU
rnacentral:rRNA from 1 species